rnacentral:rRNA from 1 species
UGGGGAAUAUUGGGCAAUGGGCGCAAGCCUGACCCAGCAACGCCGCGUGAAGGAAGAAGGCUUUCGGGUUGUAAACUUCUUUUCUGGGGACGAAUACAUGACGGUACCCCAGGAAUAAGCCACGGCUAACUACGUGCCAGCAGCCGCGGUAAUACGUAGGUGGCAAGCGUUAUCCGGAUUUAUUGGGUGUAAAGGGCGUGUAGGCGGGAAAUGCAAGUCAGAUGUGAAAACUAUGGGCUCAACCCAUAGCCUGCAUUUGAAACUGUAUUUCUUGAGUGCUGGAGAGGCAAUCGGAAUUCCGUGUGUAGCGGUGAAAUGCGUAGAUAUACGGAGGAACACCAGUGGCGAAGGCGGAUUGCUGGACAGUAACUGACGCUGAGGCGCGAAAGCGUGGGGAGCAAACAGGAUUAGAUACC